rnacentral:rRNA from 1 species
AAACCAACAGGGAUUGCCCUAGUAACGGCGAGUGAAGCGGCAACAGCUCAAAUUUGAAAUCUGGCCUUCGGGUCCGAGUUGUAAUUUGUAGAGGAUGCUUUUGGCGCGGUGCCUUCCGAGUUCCCUGGAACGGGACGCCUUAGAGGGUGAGAGCCCCGUACGGUUGGACACCAAGCCUCUGUAAAGCUCCUUCGACGAGUCGAGUAGUUUGGGAAUGCUGCUCUAAAUGGGAGGUAAAUUUCUUCUAAAGCUAAAUAUUGGCCAGAGACCGAUAGCGCACAAGUAGAGUGAUCGAAAGAUGAAAAGCACUUUGAAAAGAGGGUUAAAUAGCACGUGAAAUUGUUGAAAGGGAAGCGUUUGCGACCAGACCUUUUCCUAGCGGAUCAUCCGGUGUUCUCACCGGUGCACUUUGCUAGGUUGAGGCCAGCAUCGGUUUUCGUAGGGGGAUAAAAGCUUGGGGAACGUAGCUCCCUCGGGAGUGUUAUAGCCCCUCGCAUAAUACCUUUACGGGGACCGAGGACCGCGCUUCGGCAAGGAUGCUGGCAUAAUGGUCGUCAACGAC